CUUUUAUCGUUAAUGUGCGCUCUUUCUUUUGCACGCCUUUGUUUGUUCCUUCCUCUUUCGAGCUCCGAAGGAGACGGGGGCUCGCUUAGGGUGGGUAGGAGAGAAGGAGGGGGGUGCAGAAGGAGGCGAGGUGGGGAAAGGAGGAGGGUCGAGGGCAGGCAGGUGGCUUAGGCUCGGCGAACAAGGGAGGUUUGCCACCCCGCGCCGAGGCUAGGCGGGCUAGGCCCAGCGAGAGCUCCGAGGCCGCGCGCGCCGCCGCCGGCCACCGCCGCUACCUAAGUCUCCUGCUGUGCGCGCUGAGGCGGCUGCUCCUGAAGAUGUCGCCGCCGCUCCGCCCGGAGCGGGAGUCGCUGCUGCCCCUGCGCCUGAUGCUAAAGCGGCUGGCGCUGAGGCUACUGAGCCUACUGGAUUAGAGGGUGUCCGUCGUCGUUUUGAUGUCACAUGACUCACUUUGACUGUAUUUCGUUGUAGUUCGUCUACUGUACUUAGCCCAAAGUUGACAAGAAAGUUAAAGCUUUAGUCUUCGAACGCGGGAAGAAGCGUCAAUAUUGACCUCGCAAUCAUUCCACGUACUGCUCACCAAACAACUACUUCGUGCUCAAGCAUGACGGCAACCAAAUGGCCUCUUCGUUUUGCUUUACGGUUUACUUUCUCUUGAAUGCACACCCUAAACGAAACUUUCAACAGGUGCACUCAGUUACCCACGACGAAGUACACCCGUAGGAAAGACACCACAUACAACCUCUCCGAUAUAAUCGUGUCGAUAUUUACUACCAGGUCCUACAAACUACAACUCUACAGGACUAGGUAGGACAAGACGACGACAACCUGUUCUAUACCAAUUAAAUAAGCGAUCACUGCUCCUAUUCCCCUUCAUACUUGCUAUAGAAACGUCUAGAAUGUAACUUCUAUUAUCUUUUUGUUUUACCACAGGACGAGGCCCGACGCUCAUACGACACCUUAAACAGCAACCGUCACCGUCGAUACUACAAAGAACACCGACAAGAAUGCCCAAGACAACCUUGACGUGCCUCCUUCGAGUAGCGGGACAUCUGACAAGGUGUCAAAGGUUUACCUAAGAGUUCUUAUCACGCCUUAGGCUCUUAUACUUGACCUAUGAUCGAUUAAGCUUCGGAACAGGGUUCACGUUCGCCGGAUAACUUUUUUUGGUCCCGACGUACGUGUAAUGCACGUGUGGCGGUACAUUUAAACUUAAGACGACCGAAACAGAACCAGGUACCAGUCUAGUGCCCCUCUCUUGUCCACCAAAAAUACGAACAUUGGCAAUACUCCGUCGUUCCGUUCUUCCUCGCAAACUACUAAGACUUUCCUCUUCUCUUUACCGUUUCUUAAGGGAGCUCUCUAUAUGUGUAAUGAUACUCGCUACCCGUCGGUUAGUCAGUAGUUCCGUUUUCCGCGAACCCCUAGACGUCUCAGACGUCUUACUAUUCGAACUUUUCGAUUCACUGUAUGUUUCGGUUGGACUCAGUGUCGAAUUCAAGUAUUAACUUCGUACCAAUGUCUAACAACUUACAUCCGCCCAUAACUUCACCUGAAUGCGUAUACCAAUAAUGGAAGGUCUGGUACUUGUACGGUUUUCCGUCAAGAAGCUUAUGCAAGUUCCACUUCGUCUUAGACCAAACCUUGCGGAAGUAGUCACACGCCUCUUUCUUGAAGUCUAGAUAGAGCUACGUCUGACGGGUAGAUUUCUAAAAUUACUGAAGGCAUGUUUCAACCGACCUAACUGGUCGCAUUGAGCGUUAAUAAAGCUUUUGGACCAGGCACGUAACCUCAGACCUAACUUACUACAACCUCGAGUAUCGCCGGUUCCACGUACAUCGUUCCGGCAUUCGAGGUUCUUGGAACCGCCAUUCUCGUUCUCACCGUUCUUGUUCCGUGGACAACCACGGAGCUUCAGUCCGUCGAGUUGGGCACCAUACCUACUACCCUUGUAGACCCGGACACUAGUCACGUGCAAACGUUUGGGAUCCAGACGAUCCUCGACGGUCCAAACACUGGUAGUCGUCGUGGCAAUCUAGAACAGUUCGUAACCUGUAUACCUAAGCUAACCUAACAUUGUGGGACAGGGCACUUACGGAUCUCCGUGUACCGCGUACUUCAAUGACCGGAGAUCCCGUCCUUUUUUGCUCUCCCACCUUUAUCUUCUGAGACGACGUAACCUUCGCGUCGUUUUCGAUUUCUCCAUCUUAAAAACACAGGACCAACAGACAAUUGGCUGCUACGGGGUCGUCGGAGUGAGUUUAUAGUACCGAGCAAACAUAUAUUGAAUCGUGGGUCGGGAGAACAGAACAAACUCUCCCCAUAACUGCCCACAAACGGCUACGUACCUGACUGGACAACAUCACAACAUGUUGACAACAUUUUUGACAUUAUUAUAACUGGACAUAACUCAUGUAAAUAAAUACAAGCGGCCAGAACAGUCAAAAAAA
rnacentral:rRNA from 1 species